GACGAAGGGGGCUAGCGUUGUUCGGAAUUAUUGGGCGUAAAGCGCGUGUAGGCGGGAUGGCAAGUCGGGUGUGAAAGCCCUCAGCUCAACUGAGGAAGUGCGCCCGAAACUACUGUUCUUGAGUACUGGAGAGGGUGGCGGAAUUCCCGGUGUAGAGGUGAAAUUCGUAGAUAUCGGGAGGAACACCAGUGGCGAAGGCGGCCACCUGGCCAGAUACUGACGCUGAGACGCGAAAGCGUGGGGAGCAAACAGG
rnacentral:rRNA from 1 species